rnacentral:rRNA from 1 species
AGUGAACGCUGGCGGUAGGCCUAACACACGCAGGUCGAACGGCAGCACAGGAGAGCUUGCUCUCUGGGUGGCGAGUGGCGGACGGGUGAGGAAUACAUCGGAAUCUACUCUGUCGUGGGGGAUAACGUAGGGAAACUUACGCUAAUACCGCAUACGACCUACGGGUGAAAGCAGGGGAUCUUCGGACCUUGCGCGAUUGAAUGAGCCGAUGUCGGAUUAGCUAGUUGGCGGGGUAAAGGCCCACCAAGGCGACGAUCCGUAGCUGGUCUGCGAGGAUGAUCAGCCACACUGGAACUGAGACACGGUCCAGACUCCUACGGGAGGCAGCAGUGGGGAAUAUUGGACAAUGGGCGCAAGCCUGAUCCAGCCAUACCGCGUGGGUGAAGAAGGCCUUCGGGUUGUAAAGCCCUUUUGUUGGGAAAGAAAUCCAGCUGGCUAAUACCCGGUUGGGAUGACGGUACCCAAAGAAUAAGCACCGGCUAACUUCGUGCCAGCCGCCGCCGUAA